GACAAUGGGGAGGUCUGGAAAAGUCACUGAGGCUCCUGGAGACAGUAGGCAAAAGCUAAGAAUGAGCAUCGGGAUGCCCAUGGGGCCAGUGAGGGGCUGUUAUGCCCAGAAUUCGUGAUCCCCAAAGACCACCAGGGAGCCGAGUCCGAUGCAAAAGCAAAGAGCCUUUAUUCGAGCUAGCUCGAGCUCAAUCCCCUACCUGCACUGACGCAGAGGUGAGAUACCGGAGAGAGAGAGCGGGUUUCAAGAGCACAAAGGUUUUAUAAGGAUCAUGGCCUUAGCCAAUUGGCUGGGGAAGGGUCGUGGCCUCAGCCGAUUGGCUGGGGAAGGAUAGAACAAUGGCUGCCAAGGUGUGGUCCCAGAUCAGCUACUGAAUCUGAAACUCUGGGGGUGGGGCUCAGCAAUCUGUGUUUGAACAAGUCUUCCAGGAGAUUCUGAUGCACCUGAAGUUUAAGCACCACUGUGUCUGAGGGUCUCUAACAUGUUUGGUCUCAAUAUAUACAGAACGUUUCUCACUGGUCACCUAUUAACCAUUGGCUGUCAGACUUGCUGUGCUGUAUAAAUACCUAGCAUCAAACACCAUCCCCAGAGACUCUGAUUUAAUUGGUUUGGGGAGGGGUAAAAUGCUCCCAGGUCAUUCUAAGCCUGGACAGGGUUGAGGGCUCCUGCCUCUGGCCCCUACUUGAGAGAAGCCCUCCCUCUUCUACUCACACUUUCCAUGCCUCUCACACUCCCCUUCCUCCCACCUUAGACUUCGGAAGAAUGCAUCAAUCGGUAGCCUGCUUUCUUAGAAAACAUAAGUUACUCCAGGGGAGGAGGCGUGGUCUGAGGUUUGAGCGGGAACUUCUUUCUGAGGCCAUGUCAGGAAUAUAGUUACUAGUCGGCCGGCCUAGGUCUGCUCUUUCUGGCCUGCUGUAGCAGAGGCCGCUGGAUGGACAGCCUUGAUGGGGCCAAAAUGAGGAUAAGAAAUUCAAUGGAGGCCAGUGAGUAAGUGAUAAUGCUGCCUCCCCAGUGCUGGACCAGCCUCUAGGAACCCAGAUUCUGAGGACAAGAGAAGGAGAAGGGGGGAGAAUUUCACAUGCUACUGCACGUUCAUUGGGAAGACCAUGUUUUAAACCAGCAGAGACUGUUACCUGAAAGUAUCAAUAAGCAUUCAAACCUAUUUCUUUCCUUCCUUCCUUCCUUCCUUCCUUCCUUCCUUCCUUUAAGUAGUCUCCAUGCCCAACAUGGGCUUGAACUCAUGACUGCAAGAUCAAGAGUUGCACGCUCUAUUGACUGAACCAGCUGGGAGCCCCCAGACAUAUUUCAUUUUUAGCACAAUACGUGUAGUUUCUCAGAAAACAAGAGAGACAAGUAUUACUUACAAAGUCUCUCCAUGCCCUAGCUAUGUUGGUAUUCCUGGUUUACCACAAGAAACCACUUACAAGCUAAUGGCAGAGGGAAGCCCCCAGUACAUCCACAGUUUGACCGGCAUGAUGAACAAAAAAGUGAGAUUUAACAACAGGACUCUUGGCAAAAAGCAUUUCAUUCUCCCAGCCCUGCCCUUCUGCUCAAGGGCAGGAUACAAGGUACAUGUAAUACCUGGUCACAUGAUGUCACAUGCAAAUCGCAUGCAAAACCUCACCUACUCCCCUUUCUCUGUUCCUUUUCUGUAUUUCCCCAAUGCUGGCAGCAGGAAAGUAGGUGAUCCUUACAACACAGCCAGGAUAAGAGGAACGAAUUAGGAAAAUAUCCUGUGAAAACAUGAUUUCUUUAUUACACUGGGAGCUGAUAAAUGCCUAAAUAAGCUUUACUAUAUUAUUUGAAUGGAACAUUAAAUUUCAUCGGUUUCAUUAUACUGGUGAUAAAGACCAUGUUUUGGGAAGCUAUUCUAGAUGGUGUAAUCCUGAGGAAGAAUAAUUCCAUGCAAAUAGCCCUGUGGGUUGUGGGACCUCCUGCCCAGUGAAAGUCCCCCAGUCAGCUCAUACAUAGUGGUCCACUCAGGGGCUUGGGACACCUGCUCUGGCUUGGCUCAAAAUAAAGUGUUUCUCUACCCACGUGUAUUGUAACUCAGCAUUUCCCUCCAGGAUCUCAGGCUUGGGGAUGACCAUGGCAGGAUUGGAUGGGUGUUUCUGAGACUGAGUUCAAUGCCCUGCUCAGAAUUCCACAACAAGAGAUAAGAAUCAGGAGCGCCUGUGUGGCUGAGCAUCUGACUCUUGAUUUUGGCUCAGGUCAUGAUCUCAACGGCUUGUGAGAUUGAACCCUGUGUUGGGCUCCGUGCUGACAGUGUGGAGCCUGCUUGGGAUUCUGUAUCUCCCUCUCUCUGCCCCUUCCCCACUUGCACUCUCUCUCUCUCUCUCAAAACAAAUAAAUUUAAAAAAAAGUUAAAAGAAAAAACUUUUUUUUCUAUUAAAAUUUCUUUUCGGGUUUUAUCCUUGAAGUCUGUGAGUCUUAUCCCUUUGAAAUAAGGUGAAACAAAAUGCUUGCUGAACUGCAUGGUGCAAACCAAAUAUUUCAGUUGAUCACUGGCAGUCCUAAACUACUGGAAUGAUAUUUGGCUAGGACAACAGUUUAAGGCACAUUGUAUCUAGGGUGAUAAGACAUUCUGUCCUGGAUUAUCAUAAAACUUAUUUACCAUAUUUCAAAAUAUAGAAUGACUAAAGUAAAAAUCUCAGCUUACCAUGGGAAACAGGAAGCUUAAUAAGUAAACUCAAGGCUUUUGUCCCAAAUUAUUUCUUACAUUCAGGUUAUUCCAUUCAUGUUGAGGGAGUUCCAAUGACCUGGUAAUUGCCCUACAAAUUUUAACUUUAUUUAAACUCUACUUUCUGUUUUUCCUCCUUUUUUCACACUAGAUGAUGAUCCACUGACAGAUAUAAUGUAAUCUCUCUCGGUGUUGUCCAAUAUUCUCUCUCCUAACUAUUCAAGGUGAAUUCCAUAUACAGUAGGUCCUAACUUGAGACAUACUAUUCUUUGGUCUGGGUAUGAUUUCUAGGUAAGAUUUAAAUGUUUGCACAAAAAAUUUUUCACUGAUAAACACAAAAUUCAUACUAUCAUCUUGAAAACCCACAGUAGAGUAAAACAGCUCUGAAAAACCAUAAGGGGUUGGGGUCCCUGGGUGGCUCAGUUCACUGAGUGUACAACUUUAGCUCAGGUCAUGAUUUCAUGGCAUGUGAGUUCAAGCUCUGCUUCAGGCUCUCUGCUGUUAGCACGGAGCCCUUUUUGGAUCAUCUAUCUCCCUCUCUCUCUGCCCCUCCUCACUCACUUUCUCUCUCUCUCUCUCUCUCUCUCUCUCUAAAAAACAGACACUUGAAAAAAAUCAUAAGAAGUCUAGGCCAAUACAUGUCAUUGCCCUUGUAAUGUUGGAUAUUUUUGGGAGAUGUGUGCUGCCCAGACUCUACUUACCUUCCUAUUUGGAAGUCAUUCCCCACAUGUGGCAUCUUGGUGGAAAGCAACGCUACAGAAGCCAGAAAAUCUAAAUCCUGCCUCUGCCCACAUCGCAGCCUUUAGGAUUUGAGCAUAAUGCAUAAAUGUUAUGACCUUCCUAGGACAUGGCAUAUGGAGGGUGCAUAUCAACAACAAUGAUAGUUGUUGUUACUGUUGCUUAGCUCUUUGGAGACAUUUGGUCCCAUUCAUCAAUUUUUCUUAAAAAAUUUUUUUAUUACAUUUAUUUAUUUUUGAGAGACAGAGUGAGACAGAGUGUGAGCGGGGGAGGGGCAGAGAGAGAAGGAGACACAGAAUCCGAAGCAGGCUCCAGGCUCUGAGCAAGCGUUCAGCACAGAGCCCAGCGUGGGGCUCGAACCCACAAACUAUGAGAUCAUGACCUGAGCUGAAGUUGGACACUUAACCGACUGAGCCACCCAGGCGCCCCACCAGUGAUCAAUUUUUCAAUUCUGGUGCUCCAGCCUUUCCUUGAGUAUGUGAAAACUCCCAUUUUGUUUUUUAAUUUCUUUAAUGUUUAUUUAUUUUGAGAGAGAGAGAGACAGAGUGUGUGUGUGGGAGAGGGCAGAGAGAGAGGGAGAGAGAGAAUCCCAAGCAGGCUCCUCAUUUUCAGCAUGCAGCCCAAUGCAGAGCUUGAUCCCAUACACCAUGAGAUCAUGACCUGAGCCGAAAUCAAGAGUUGGAUGCUUAACCUCAUAACCUGAGACAAAAUUAGGAUUUGGAUGCCUAACCAACUGAGUCAUGCUGGUGCCCCUCCCAUUUUGUUAAAAGACAGUCAGAACUCAGAUUCUGUUGCUUGCAACCAUGAGAAUUGUAAUUUACAUCCUACUCCUCACCACAAUGUUUUCUAUUUAAAAAAAAAUUUUUUUUUAAUGUUUAUUUUUGAGAGAGAGAGAGAGAGAGCAGCGAGGGGCAGAAAGAGGGAAACAGAGAACUCAAAGCAGGAUCCAGGCUCUUAGCUGUCAGCACAGAGCCAGAUGUGGGGCUCAAACCCACAAACCAUGAGAUCAUGAUCUGAGACAAAGUCAGACACUUAAGUGACUGAGCCACCCAGGUGUUCCCACUGUACUCCCUCUGCAGUGUUUUCCAAGACCCACUUCCAAUACACAUCUUCAUGGGUUAUCAGGGUGAAUGGCACCAAGAAGGAUGUACCAUUUACAAAGAGGGAUGGCAUGUACAUUUCCCCCAUACACCACACCAGUCGCUCCCUCCUCCUCUCCUGCUCUGUCUGGGGCUCUCUCCCACCUGCAGAACCGCAGCAGGAUGAGGCCUCAGGUAGGUCCUGGUUUCCCAUCUCUUCUUUUUGGUUCCUGUUGAGAAAUAGCUUUAUAAUACCCAGCUGGAAAGCGUCAGGCUGUGAUAUAAGGGGUGAGAUUAUGAUGUGACCUGGGCAGGUUGGGAAGGAUGAAAGGAAGAGGAAGUUGGAGGGGGCCCUUUUCCAGGGAGGGUUAUACAAAGAGCUGGUGGCUCUACUUGUGUCUCUCUGCUUUAAGAUGAAAGGACCACUCUCCCCUCCCCUUGCACAGUGAUUUGCUUUUGUUUCAUGCUUGGAAUACUGGUUAAUAUGGCUUCAAUAUGUCACGUUCUUGGUGCCUGAGUGGCCAGGUGGUAUGCUGUGGGCAUUUUGGAUUCACAUAGGAUUAUGGGCUCUAUGUGUCCCCUCAAAAUUCUUCUGUUUCAAUCCUAACCACCAAUGUGAUAGUAUUAGGUGGAGCCUUUGGGAGGUAAUUAUCCCUUGUGAUGGAAUCUGUGCCCAUCCGGGAAGAGUAGGGAGAGAGCUUACUUUUUUCUCUUGCCAAUGAGAAGGUGGCCAUCUGCAAACCAUGAAGGAAACUUUCUCCAGACCGGAUCUGCAAGCACCUUGAUCUUGGACUUCUCAGGCUCAAGAACCAUGAGAAAUAAAUGUUUGUCAUUUGGUGGCUCAGCCUGAGGUAUUUGUUAUAGCAGCCCAAAGUGACUAAAACACACUGACUUGAGUUCAAACUGUGAGCCUGCUGUUAAACAGUUGAAUGAUCUUAAGCAAGCUGUUAAACUCCUCUGCAUCUUAGGGUCAAUUUUUUCUUUUUACUCUAGAAAUAGGGGCAAUGGUAAUAUUAAUCUCAUACAGUUGUUGUGAUGAUUAAAUAGGAUAAUAAUGCAAAGGAUUUAGCCCGUGCCUGGCAUUUAACAAGGGCCUAUAAAUGGAGUGAUAGUAACUCUUUCCUCCUUGCCAUGGGAGAGCAUUUGCUAUGGACAAAGGUCACACUGGUGUGUCCUUUCUUGCUGGAGGUCAGAUGUUGGGAACACCAAUAUGGCUCUGCAUUUUUGCAGCCAUAAGUUUCAGAACGUUCUGAUCCAAACGGGGGAUUUCACUGCCAAUUGGCUAAUGUUUGUCCCUUCCACAAGAACACAACGAGUCUUUCAUGGACAAACAAUGAAGUUUAUACCUCCCAUUCUUCCUGAUAAGAAUCCCUACUGCCUUCCCUUUUUUUUUUAAAGCUGAUAAUCAUCUAUGGCUUUCUAUGUGCAGGAGCUCUGUUGAACAACUUACUUGGAUUACCAAAUAAAUCCUCCCAUUUACCCUGAAAUAUGUACUAUUAUCAUCUCCUUUUUUAAAGAUUAAAUAAACAUUUUUGUUUAAAAUUUUUUAAGUAAUCUCUCCACCUGAUGUGGGGGUCAAACUUACAACCCUGAGAUCAAGAGUAACAUGCUUCACCGACUGAGUCAGCCAGGGACUCCUAUUAUCUCCAUUUAUUGAUAAGAAACUAGGCUUACUGGGUCACCUGAGUGGCUCAGUCGGUUGAACAUCCAACUUCGGCUCAGGCCAUAAUCUCAUGGUUCGUGAGUUCAAGCCCCACAUCUGGCUUGCUGCUGUCAGUGCAGAGCCCUUUUUGGAUCCUCUGUCCCCCUCUCUCUGCCCCUCCCCUGCUUGUGCUCUCUCAAAAAUAAAUAAACAUUAAAAAAAUAAAAGAAACUAAGGAACAAGGCUUACAAAGUGAGGUUGCCCAAAGUCACAUUUCGAAGUUAUUACAUAGUAGAACUGAGUUGUUUUUUUUUAAUUGUGGUAAAAUAUACAAAAUAUAAAAUUUAUCAUUUUAACAUUUUUAAGUGUACAACCCAGUGGUAUUCAGUAUUCACAAUGUUUUGCAACCAUCAUUUCUAUACAUUUCCAGAAGUUUUCAUCAUCCCCAGGGUUGAACUUUUCAAGCUGAGUUUGUUCAACUUCUAGUGUGUGAAAGGAAUGGUUGUGCAGUGGUUAAGAGCACAAAUUCUUUCAGGGUUCCAAUCUCAGUUCUGCCGUUGAUGAGUAUGAAGUUCUUGGAGAAGUUACUUGAUUUUUCUAGCACCUCCAUACUUUGAUCUGUACACAGAGGUUGAUUAUCAAUGGUACCUAUCUCAUAGAGUGGUUAUAAUAUUAAAUAACUUAAUCCAUUCCUGGAAAUAAUUUCCUUGGGAAAUGGUAGGCAUGCAAUGAGUAUUAGUUAUUAUUCCUCCAUACUGCUAAUUAUAGGGCGCUGUAGUAAUGACGGGUGGGGAGCUAGAACAUGAGCAUUGUGUGGAGAAGUGAAAUUAUAUUGCUUCCUGACAUAAUGCUGAUGGGGUUUCAUCAGGUCACUAAAAUCUUCUCUGAUGUUGAAAGGCAACAAGCUCUCUCUCAUCACUAGAUAACCAGGUAGCCUGAACAGGACACAGAGUGGGCUCCCCUGAAGAUGGAGAGCCUGGGAAGAGCUGGAGAAUGCAAACCUGGGUAGGUACCUUCUUCAAAACACUCUCCUCUGGUCUCCAGGGCAGGAGCGUAAGACUCAUGAGUUCCAUGCCACCCUCCACCUCCUUCCACAAUGGCAAGGAAUAGUUUUCAGAAUAUGUUAAAAUGUCAGAUAAAUACCCAGUGGACACACAGCAAAGUUUUAUUUAACUCAUUAAUGAGAGGGCCAGUGGAGAACCAGAGAGGAAGUGAAAGCUCUGGCUUAGCCAUGAAGGAAGACUUAAAUAAAUACCAUCUCUCACUGAAGGAAGGUGGGGGGGAGGAGCAAAGAAAAUUUGAGGUCAAAGGGACCUAUUUUUAAAAAAAAUUUUUAGGGGCGCCUGGGUGGCUCGGUCGGUUAAGUGUCUGACUUCGGCUCAGGUCAUGAUCUCAUGGUCCGUGAGUUCAAGCCCCGAGUCAGGCUCUGUGCUGACUGCUCAGAGCCUGGAGCCUGUUUCAGAUUCUGUGUCUCCCUCUGUCUCUGCCCCUGCCCUGUUCAUGCUCUGUCUCUCUCUGUCUCAAAAAUAAAUAAACGUUAAAAAAAAUUUUUUUUAAUAAAAAAAAUAAAAAAAAUUUUUAAUGUUUAUUUAUUUUUGAGAGGUGGGGGGAGGCAGAGAGAGAGGGAGACAUAGAAUCUGAAGCAGGUUCCAGGCUCUGAGCUGUCAGCACAGAGCCCCCAACAUGGGGUUCGAAUUCACAGACCGCGAGAUCAUGACCUGAGCUGAAGUCGGACGCUUAACCAGCUGAGCCACCCAGGCACACUGCUAUUUUUUCUUUUUUCCAUCCUAGAUAGAUGUCCACUGGCUCUCCCUAAGUCAGGAUUUCAUAGGCAAACUCCAUCACUUGAGAGCCUUUUAUCUCAUGUUGAUGUGUUGUUUUGAUUGCACUGGGUGUACAGUUGUGUGUUGAGUGCGUGAGGAACUUGGAAGGGGAUGGGAAAUUUGUUUUUAGUUCUGGUAGGGGCUGAUACUGCCCUUACAGAGGUGUAUGGUCCAUCCAUCUAGUAAGCGGACCUGCUAUAACCAAGAGAAAUGGGAAGAUUAGGACCUAGGAAGAGAAACAAUCAUCCUUCAUUCAUUCCAAGGCAUCCAUCGUCACCUACAGUGUGUCAAGCUUCACUGAAGCUCAUUGGAAGCUGUUGGAAAGUGUCUCCCCCACCAGGAUCAUGAGACUUUCUGGUGCUACUGUAUAAUGAGUUCCCUAAGUCAGCUAUACCAGGGCCUAUGUAACUCUUCCAAAGAAGGCAUGUCCAUCUGUAGUAAGAGAGAAGUCGUAAGCAGUGUGUCCGUGUCCUUUGUUGAAAUGUUCUUAUAAUUAUGCAGUGUUUAAAUUGUCAAAAUUUCCUGCUUGAAAAUUACACUUGACAUUUAUAUUUCUAGGCAAAAGUGGGGAAAAGAUCGUUCACCCAUGUUGCAACUAAUGUAAAAAGAACACCAAUUCAGUGUUAUUUUGGUAUUUUAUUUCUGUCCUCAGUGAAAUAAUAAGAGGGGACAGAACAUUUUCCCUCUCAGGACAGCUGUGAAUGGACAAUUGAAGAAAAACACAAGGAAGCAGAGACUGGAUACUGAGCAGAGCGACAUCAGACAAAGAGCACGGGCUUUGGGGUCAACAGAUCUGCAUUCAAAACCCAGAUCUAGCACUUAAAAGCAGUGUGGCACUGAAUGGGCUACUGUAAUGUCUCCUGUUUCUUCAUGGGUAAAGAAGAGAUGAUUCUUUACAAUCCUAGCCCAUAAUUCAGUGCCCAGCCAAGUGUAAGAACUCACUAUUUGUUCAACGGCACAUCAGACCCAACUGCAGUUUUCUGGGCACGUGGCUGGCAUCUAAGGACAGCCAGCCCCUUGGCAGUGCUGUCAUGCUGGUUAUUCAUUUGGAGAACAUUCACCAGAACUGCUUCUACCUUACUUUAUUUUCCUCCAGGUAACAUUUUAGUCCAACCAUUAUCAGCUCUCUUCUAGAUGAAAUACCUGAUGGGAUCUCCAAUGCUCAAGCAUGCAUUUGUGCUUCACACUCUUGCUGUAGUUCAGGUUUUCUGUUAUCAUUGCAUUCAGAAUCUGGAUGCCAUGAAUUACAGGUCUGUGGGCUGAACUGCAGACUUGUUCCUAUGUUAUUCUUCAUUUCUGACUUGUGGCCAUCCCCAUGAGGUUUAAAUGAAGACUCUGAGGUAGGAGCAGAGAGGUGUCAGGUUUGAGGACAGAAUUCAUUUGACAUGGAUGUUACAUGUGAUGAAGUCACCAUCUGGUAUAAUGAUCAGGGCAGAGGUCAGAGAGGGAGAUGUGGGUGUGAGAGCCUGCUAUGAGUGGGAGAGAAGCCACUGGAGGUCAUAGUCUGCCAAUAUUUGUCAGAUAAUCCUAUUUUAUUACCUGAAUGGUCUUGUUUGAUCCUGUUACAGUUUUGCAACAGCACAGGGUUACCCCUGCCACUCAUGGGCAGGCAGAGUUUUCUCCCAUCCAUACAAUGCUGAUGGAAUAGACACCAGAGAUACCAGCUCGAGAUACCAUUCAGAUUAAAUAAAUACGCCUUAAGGAAAACACUGUGACUUUGUACAAGAGAAUCUCCCUAGAUUCUCCUAAUUUUACAAUUAACAUCCUAAAACCCUGUGUAUUUUCUUUCUUGGAGCCAGUGAAAACUCAAGGCCCCAUGGAAAAGAAGCAAAAUAUGUCAAUAUGUUGGAAAAAAACCUCUAGGAUACACAAGCCAGCUGUUGGUUUGGAAAGUGGUGUCCUCUCAGUGCCAAUGACUUCUUUGUCCAAACAGAGCUUACCAGGGUAUAUUUACGGGUUAAUGAUUUUCAUAAUAAUUAAAAUAAAAAGCUGAUGAUUGUUUUUGACCCAUACAAGCCAAUUUCUUACAGUUCAACCUAACACAUUACCAUAUUCUAAGUUAAUGGCUGUUUUUUUUCAAGUUAGUAUUUGGAUUAAAGUUCCAAUACUGAAUUAGACUAAAAUAAUUAAUUGAAAGCAUAAGAGACAAGAAAAAGUAUAUGAAAACUUAAUUUAUUAGAGAAUAAUUUUUUUUUAUUAAGUAAAAGCUUUAAACAAAAACCAGUAAUUCCACAAACCAACAAUGACUCGGUAGCGUGCAAGUACUGUAGGCUGGAGAGGCAUGUUUGCUCUUGAUGAAUCUAUAUA